CGUUUCCGUAGGUGAACCUGCGGAAGGAUCAUUGAAUAUGCAAAACCACAACACGCACUCUCUACUUGUGUACCGACGUUAGGUCAACACACGCAAGUGUGUGGCCUACUAACCUACACACCAUUGACCAACCACUGAUCAAACCAAACUCUGAAGCUUUGGCUGCCGUUAACCGGCGGCUCUAACAAAGAACAACUCUCAACAACGGAUAUCUUGGCUCUCGCAACGAUGAAGAACGCAGCGAAAUGCGAUACGUAGUGUGAAUUGCAGAAUUCCGUGAACCAUCGAAUCUUUGAACGCAUAUUGCGCUCGACUCCUCGGAGAAGAGCAUGUCUGCCUCAGCGUCGGUUUACACCCUCACCCCUCUUCCUUACCAGGAGGCGUCUGUCGUGCUUGCUCAAGCCGACAGCAGGGGUGGAUCUGGCUCUCCCAAUCGGACUCACCUCCGAUUGGGUUGGCUGAAGCACAGAGGCUUAAACUGGGACCCGAUUCGGGCUCAACUGGAUAGGUAGCAACACCCUCGGGUGCCUACACGAAGUUGUGUCUGAGGACCUGGUUAGGAGCCAAGCAGGAAACGCGUCUCUGUGGCGCGUAAACUCUGUAUUCGACCUGAGCUCAGGCAAGGCUACCCGCUGAACUUAAGCAUAUG
rnacentral:rRNA from 1 species